GCACCCGUAGCUCAAUUGGAUAGAGCACUGGUCUUCGGAACCAGGGGUUGUAGGUUCGAAUCCUACCGGGUGU
rnacentral:tRNA from 1 species